rnacentral:misc_RNA from 1 species
UGGCUCUCGCAUCGAUGAAGAACGCAGCGAAAUGCGAUACGUAAUGUGAAUUGCAGAAUUCCGUGAAUCAUCGAAUCUUUGAACGCACCUUGCGCCCCUUGGUAUUCCGAGGGGCAUGCCUGUUUGAGUGUCAUUGUACUCUCUCAACUUUUGACCUUGGAUAUUUCAAGGUCCGAAGCUUGGACGUUGGAGGUGUGCUGGCUGCUUGUGCGGUCAGCUCCUCUGAAAAGUAUUAGCGAAAGGAAAUGCACUGAUCCUGCGUUCUCAUGCUUCUGGCAUUGAUAGAACUCUAUGCCUUUUGGUAGCUGAAAAUGCUUUCUGGGAUCAGCGAUCGUCCUUUUUCUUGCUCACAGUUGUCGUCAGACAAUGCCUUUUGACCAAUCACCUCAAAUCAGGUAGGACUACCCGCUGA